CAAUGCUCUUUAGGAACCAUUUCCGGAUUGCAGUGCAACAUCAAGCUGCUAGAACACUGAUCCCUCUGCACGACUGUGACGUGAAGAGGCAUCGCCGGGAACCCCCAGAUGAAUGAAUUCUGACUGGCCAUCGGGUGAAAUUUGUCCGUAUAUUGGGAGUGUUAGGUUUCAGCUUGGCCAUGGUACUGAGACAUACACAUCCUUCUGGACUUCUCUGCAGUAUUUCAUACCUCUGAUCAACAAGUAUUCCUGUGCCACCUCCAGGAAGCUGCAAGAGGGAUCUGAAAUGCCUUAAACUGGCUCUGGUGCAUAUCUUUAGCCCAACCCAAGAGCCAUUAUGGACCAUUGUGGAACUGUUCUGAAAAAAAGGAUGGAAAUGAUAGAAAGAUGUAAAUGCUAAGGGCUGAAUAUUCUGGACAUACAUGAAGAAAUGGAGACCAUCUACAGAAGAUGGUGAUAAACAAUAGAGUUUGCUGAACGGAAGGAAUAAUAUGGUUGGUCUGCGAUGGAGUAGCUGCAGCCCAAAACGGAGCAGAGACUGCACAUUUCAGAAUGGAAAUAUUUGUGCAUCACCAUUAGAAGAGCCACCAAACCUCCCAAAUAAUAUCUGCCCAAGAUAGUACUUAUAGAUGAGACCUGACAUUGUUCUUUUACACUGUAAACAUAUUAGUGAAUGAUGUUGUUUUCUUCAACUACCAAAUCCCAGAGUCAGAAUAAUACCCACCUCUUCAAAGUUUCUUGUUGCUAAGUGCUUCUACUGGCACCCCAUUCAGUGGCGUGCUCCAAAACUACAGCACCAUAAACUUUAUAUCAAAACAAAAUAUUAAGCCCUACCACAGUACCUUUCCUAAGCAACCAUAAAUGAGGGAGAAUGCUAUAGCAUUCCUUACUUGACUG